AAAGGGUGCGUAGGCGGUCUCGUAAGUCAGUGGUGAAAUCCGGCAGCUCAACUGUCGAUGUGCCAUUGAUACUGCGUGACUUGAGUACAGACGAGGUAGGCGGAAUUGACGGUGUAGCGGUGAAAUGCUUAGAUAUCGUCAAGAACACCGAUAGCGAAGGCAGCUUACUAGACUGUAACUGACGCUGAUGCACGAAAGUGUGGGGAUCAAACAGGAUUAGAUACCCUGGU
rnacentral:rRNA from 1 species